AUUGAACGCUGGCGGCAGGCCUAACACAUGCAAGUCGAGCGGAUGACGGGAGCUUGCUCCUUGAUUCAGCGGCGGACGGGUGAGUAAUGCCUAGGAAUCUGCCUGGUAGUGGGGGACAACGUUUCGAAAGGAACGCUAAUACCGCAUACGUCCUACGGGAGAAAGCAGGGGACCUUCGGGCCUUGCGCUAUCAGAUGAGCCUAGGUCGGAUUAGCUAGUUGGUGGGGUAAUGGCUCACCAAGGCGACGAUCCGUAACUGGUCUGAGAGGAUGAUCAGUCACACUGGAACUGAGACACGGUCCAGACUCCUACGGGAGGCAGCAGUGGGGAAUAUUGGACAAUGGGCGAAAGCCUGAUCCAGCCAUGCCGCGUGUGUGAAGAAGGUCUUCGGAUUGUAAAGCACUUUAAGUUGGGAGGAAGGGCAGUAAGCUAACACCUUGCUGUUUUGACGUUACCGACAGAAUAAGCACCGGCUAACUUCGUGCCAGCCGCCGCAGUAA
rnacentral:rRNA from 1 species